CGCUCAUCCAGAGGGGCAGAGGGAUACGGCCCGAUGAAGCCCCGGCAACCCUCCAGUCGGUUUCUCACGCGCGUGAGGCUCCCGACUCGGGAAGGUGCCAAAUCCGUCUCACGGCGAGAUGCGUCGUGAGGAAGAUGAGGA
rnacentral:ncRNA from 2 species